UAUCGUUUUCAUAAUAUAUCGAAUCAAUUAUCGAUCAAUAUGGGAGAUCGAUUAGACUCAUAUUUUAAUUUACACGUACUUUCUAAUCUUAUGCAAAAGUAAUUACAAUUUGUGAAACGCGAUUUAAACAUGAUUAAUAAUAAUUAGCCUUAUUAGUGCAAAAAACAUAAAGUUCAAAACUAUAUAUUGCAGAGGCACUCAUCUUGAUAUGUGAAAUUAGCGCUAGAGAUGAUCAUCUUUGGCUCGAGCCAACUUCAUAUAGUUCUCUAUUAUAGGGGUUCACACGCCUUCCGGAACGGAAUGGGACGCUGGGUUCACUUCCUUUCCGGAACGGACGGGGUUCACUUUCUUUCCGGAACGAAACGGGACAUGGGACAGAUCAGCUCCCGAUCGAGUUUCUUCGAAAAUCAUCUAAUCGGUAAAUAUGAGAACGCAACGAAUGUUUCGGACGGAACGACACGCCGCCGCAAGUGCUAGAACAAGUGCUAUCGCCAAGUAUUUAAUCGAACGCGACGAAUGUGGAACGACCUGGCGCUAUAUAGAACGACAUCGCAGAUCAUAACUGGUAAGUGUAACGUACACAUCUCAGUAAGCAAAAAAUAAUUGAAGAUUUUGUAAAUCAUAAACUAAUACUAAGAUUUUAUUUAAUUAUAACUCUAUCGUAGUUUAUUAUAACAUUAAAAUAACAUUAAUAUGUAUCAAUUUAUUAAUUCUUUUUAUGAAUUGUGAUAAUGAUUUAUUUGAUGUUUUCAACAUCAUUUUAAUUUUAUACAUACAGCUUUCAAAUAGAAACUAAAUUUAUCCAGUGAACCAAAUUUCUUUACAUUUUCUGUUAAAUGAAUAAAAUUAUGAACAUUAUGAUUUAUAAAUUCUUAUCCAUACACAGAGCAUUGUAAAAA